rnacentral:piRNA from 1 species
UGAUUCAAGCGUUCUCUCAACCUGGC